rnacentral:tRNA from 1 species
GCCCGCGUGGUGGAAUGGUAGACAUCGGAGACUUAAAAUCUCUUGGCCCUUGGGCCGUGCCGGUUCGAGUCCGGCCGCGGGCACCA